rnacentral:lncRNA from 1 species
AAGAGGGUAUUUUGCCAACCUCGAGGUUAAAGAAAAAGAAAAACAAACAAAACAAAAACAGACUCUCCCAUGUGGACAGAAGGAAAUUUUCUCUGUUUAUGCAGGAUGGGAAACCUUUCUGCUCUCUCUUUACUAUGUGUCUUUACUAUUUCUGCUCUUCUCAGAAAUGAGCAACAAGCUAUCGGAGCCACUGAUUCCUCAAAGACCAAGAGCUAGAGAAAAAUAAUUUAUUUUCAUUUAUUCCAUAUCAUUCUAUCCAUCCACUCUUCUGUUUGACCAGCAUUUUGAAUUGCCUACUAUGUGUUUACCAGCUAACAAGGAAGAAUCUGGCUUUUGUAAUCUAUAAUCGUACCAAGGCUGAAACCUUACUUUUAAACAAACACCAGAAUUUUAAAAUUAUAACUGAGGAUUUUUUUGUUUUUUUUUUUUUGUUUUUUUUUUUCAGAAUAGUCAUCUUGGAAAAUUAUUAGGAAUUUAUUCCAAGAGGUCCUUUGUUCAACAGUCUUCUGGAAAUCCCUUUAGAGACUGGUUGAAAAGCUUCUGAGCUACACCAAAAAAAUUAGUCUCAUUAUUUUCAGAAUACCAAAAAAGGGUUUUUCCCAGUUCGAUCAUCCAUUUUCUUUCCCUACCUUGGCUCCAAAAUCAAACCCACCCUUGGAGGAUGGGAAUGUGCUGCCCAGGGAUGAGAGGAGCUGGUGAGGGACAGGGGUUUGGCCCAGGGUGAGAGCACUGGACAUGCUUUUGACACAUCCUUCAAGACAAGUCUUAAAAGUCCUAUAUGGUUGCCUUUCUAAAAAGUUACAGUGUUUUAUAGGUCACUAUGUGCUGACCUGCUCAACGUGGUCAAAAUGCUUAGAAAUGCUGCAUAAUAAGGCACCCUCUAGUGGAGUCACCUUGUACAUUAGCAUAAUAAGGGUUCUGAGAAGUCUUGCAGUAAAGGAAACUGUUUAAACUUAGUGUUAACCAAACUUAUAGGGCCUGCUGCUCUUCUUCAUGGAACACCUAUUAUCGUCCAACAAUUUUUGAAACAUCCUUAGAGGCAAGUCCUAUAAAUGCAGAUUUUAAUGAAGGUCGAGCAGUACAGGAAGAGAUUCCCUUCCCACUGACUCACACCUAGCAGACAAGUGUCUGCACAGCCUUCUGCACUCCCGUAGUCUUUACUUAAAUGUAACCUCCUCUGAAAGACCUUCCCUGGCCAUUCCUCUUUUGUUGCUCUCUGCUACAACUUUGUCACAAUCUGAUUCUCUGUUUUGUCUGUUUCCCACCGGAAUGUAUGCUCCAUGAGGGCAGCAACUGAUUUGCUCCUGUGUUCCCAGUACCUAGCACCACAUAUGUGACACACAGAAAGUAUAAAGCAUGAGUUGGUUGGUUGCUUGAUGAAACUGAUGAAUGGGAAGCCGUGAACCUUCAUGGACCAUGGUGCAGCUGGACCUUUCUGCCCCAUCUCCCAUGCAGGGAAUAGUACAGUUUUGCUUCUCUGGUCUACUGCAUACUAUCAGAGCAGAGUUUGCUCAGCAAAACAGUCCAGAUAACCUGGUGAUCAUCCAAGAGGCCACAAGGCAAUCCUUUCAAUGAUGCCCAAGACUAUUUUACAAAAUAUGCCUAAAAGCAGGGUGGUACAAAAUCAGAUUCCUUAAAGCAGCAGAGCCAACUCCUCUUGGGCUUUUGGACAACCUCUCUUUCAGGAGUCCUGAGAGAGGGGCCCUGUCCAUCAUAAAGCUCUUCCAUAUUCCCUGUAGGCACAGACUUCUGCCAGGCCUGCAGACAGAGCUCAGGAUAAAGAGCCAAGGGUGUGGUCUAAGUGUUUAUCCAAAUGGUAUCCUACAUAACAUCUAUAAAGCAACACAGGCCAAGCCCUUGAUGCCUGGCCCUAGGUGAAGGUACCAGGGGUUGCCGACUGUGUUCUAGAGAUGUGCCAGAAGGCCCUGGGAAAUGACUGGCCUUCUGGAGCCAUUUGUUCUACCUCUGUGAGGCAAUAACGUGUACAAUCAGUGUGUUUGUAAUUCUAUGCACUGUGAUCUUGAGGAAUUAUCAAGCCAUAGCAUGGGGCCUGGGAAUUCACGGAUCAAUUUAAUCUAUGACUCCCUUCAUUCCUGAUGGUUUUUACUUAUUCUUUUUGAAUAAUGUAUAGAUCAAUACAUGCAGAUUUAACAUCUGUGUGACCCAGCAUCAAUCUCCACUGAGUUACCUAAGACAGAACAGGAGAGUCCUCCCUGACUCCUCUCUUCCUAACACUGCACAACCCCGGGUCCUACUGGUUCUGCCUUCAGGAUGUCUCCUGAACCUAGCCCCUUCUCUCUUUCUGCCCUUACCCCCACUACUGCACUAGUCCACUGUGAUCUCUCACUGCCUGGACCACAGAAACAUUCUUCUAACU